AUAAAAGUGGAGUCUUUAUUUCUUGAGGCUUACCAAAUCAUAAGAAUAAAAGCCGUUUAUGGAUUUAAAAGAGUCACAUAGGUAUGUUUACAACACAGCGACUGCUGCUACUGCUAUUCCACCCCAUGCAUAGACAAAGAAGGCCUCGUCUCCGAUAUGUUUCCAUCAAUCACAAAAACCACACACUCAGACGGGGUACAAGCAGCUCCCAUCGUCGCUCCUGGCCGUCGGAUCAAAGUUUGUGGCAAUCGGAUCAGUGCACCCUUCUGGAACUGGGACGCCCACCUGUUGAGCUGCUUUCCCUGCAUACGGGUAGUAAGCUUAACGCAUCAGCUAUGGCCGCAAAGCACCAUAUCUUUUGUACGUAAGAGACAGGAUGACAUAGAGAGUGCGAACCGUAGAACUGUCCCGUGUUAAUGGCGUCCUCAUUGGCGUCUCCCAGCGCGGCCUCGCUCAGGUACUUGUCGGCCAGCUGCACCCUCUUCACGUUCUCUUGCUCCUUCACCAGCAUGUUACCGUACUCCAUUAGCUUGGCGAGGCUCAUCUUGGGCUGGUCGAACGUCGGCGGUCCUUCCAGUGAGUUGACUAACUUCUUGUUCACGCUUUCAACCCCGAUCUCUGCAACCCAUUUCCUCACCUCAUCAUCAUACACCCUGGCUCGGACGGCGCCAAAGAAGUCUGCAUUACAUAAGCAACAUCAGCUAAGUUCGAUGCUAAAGAUCGAGUCUGAUGAACGCCCAGCUUCAUUUUCAUUUUGGGUUUCGGGAAGCUUACCGAUGGACUGGCCGGGGAACGAAUCGACGAGCUUGACAAUGUCCUCCUUGGCGACAUUGUCGGUCCUAAAUAUUCCGGCGCAGACGCCGAUGCGGUCCUCUCUGGUUGGCGCCCAGUAGAACUUCUCCAUACGACCAUCACGAAUGAGCGGAGCAUAGAGGGUGGAGAAGUCGUUUCCGGUGACGAUGAUGGGAACGCGGGGGUUCUCCUGCUUGUUGUACAUUCCCGGGAGCUGCACGUUGGUUGGGUUAUCGGCGAUGUUCAUGAGGGUGGCGUUCACCAUCUGGUUGUUGACCGUGUACUGGGUAGUGCCGCCGAGCCGCCCAGCUCCGGCGUCGAGAUCGUUGAUGAAGAGGCAGCACAUCUUCCCCUUCUUGAUGAUUUCGGCUGCCUCCCGGUACCUUUGCCUGAUCAAUUUUGCAGGCUCUCCUGCAUUCCCACUUUCCAGUUCUCCGGCACUCAUCAUUAUAGGGCUGCAAACAGGACGGUUAAAUCGAUCAUGAGCCUCCGAGGAAUUCACAAUGGCUUCAAACUAGCUACCAAGAAUCUAAUCAUACGACACAAGUGUUUGAUCCUUCUACAAGGUGGGGAAACACAGAAAUUGACUCAGAUAUCAGAUCAGGGUGUUCAUAGAAUCAGAGUGCCUCACAUGAAUAUGUUCAAAAUGUGUACUGAUUCAUUACAGGUGCAACAAUUGAAAUUGUAAAAAUGAAUGAUCGAUUGCUUAGAAUCCAAUCUUUCUCAUGCUGACAGAUUUAUAAUUAAUCGCAGGCAUUGUCUUCACAUCUUUAAGGGCAAAUGCCAAAAGGGAGAAAAGAUGAUGGACAACGAUGAUUUUACAAAGUCAGGUCGGAUGUCAUGGAACUCAGAUUAAAAUACAAGAGGACAUAUUGAUGGUGAAACUUCCAUGCAGAGAAACAGCAUACAAGUAUGAAUCUUGUCAAUGGCACCAUAUCAAGCAUAGGUUAGCAGUUGCAGAACAGAGACACAGCGGCAGCUAAGUUGUUAAUUUACUUAAAUAUGUAAAUUAAGGGUCUUUUAACACUACAGUGAUGAAAUUUACUUGUUAGCAAACUCUCUGUUCUAUGGGUUUGUAUGAACAAUUUGUUCUGGUUCAAAGGAACAAAAACUGAGUCGUAAAGAUUAUAGUGUCAAAGAUUCAUUGGUAGUAGCAUGUGUGGAUCGUAUAAUGAUGGAUCAGAGGUAUGUGGAAAAAGUUGUGAUAUCUCAAUUCUCUAAGAUUUGCAGUAUGUUCAAUGCUUACAGGAUUGAAGAACAAAGAAAUAUCUGCUUCUUUAAGCAGUUCAUCAUGCUCAAAUCAAUGAUUCAACCACAUGAUACGAGCUUACUUGAUUCCCAUCUUGGCGAACACGAGCUCACACUGGAAGGAUUUCCCCUGCCCUUUGCCUCCCCAGAUACCCAAAAUCAAUGGAACCUGUCAACAAAUCUUCGCAGUGAGAUUCACAUCGAACAUGUAUCAGUGCACCACCAACGAGAACAAUGAUCACCUUGAUGUUGGGCAAGUUCAUGAAGUUCUUGGAGAUGUGAACAACAAGUUUGUCCAUGAAAGCGGGAGCGAUGUAGAAUCCAUCCAUGGUGUUGUCGAGGUUGUACCUAACAUCACAACAGUAGUCAAGGCCCUGUCUCUACGAAGCAGACACAGAGAAAUGCCAUGGAGCUGCAUAGAGAAGAGGUUGUUGCAGUUGUCUUACUGACGGAG
rnacentral:lncRNA from 1 species